UGUUGACCUUUUCGAUGCAGUAUAUUUCAUACAUGUAUUUGAACAUAUAUAAUGCAUUUAAUGUUUUAACGUGGUCGUUGAAAUAGUUAUAAAAUGUAUUGAAUUUCCAUGUGCGUCACAGGAGUGAACACGUUCAUUUAUUGUGAUAAUUGCAUCUCUCUCUAAACCAUCUGACAAUUAUUUGUAUUAUGAGUUGAGUGAAUUAUAACGAGUCAAGAGUGUAAUUUCUAUUUUUCUAGCCUUUUGUGAAUGUCUGCAGUUCUGUCUUCAGCCAAAGUGAAUUGUUUUCUUCUUUUUCUGUCUAAAAUAAGAUAAAUUCAAGUUGAACCCCAUUUGUGAGUGUGUCCAUCCACAUCCGUUACACUGGUGCCGUGACUCCUUGGAUCCUUUGAACUGCUUGAUGCGGAUCGACCGCGGUUGCUGUGCGCAGGUCAAGUUCAUCUGUGGAUUGAAUCUUCAAUACCGUGGGAAGGUCAAGGUCGUCAGUGGAUCAAGUCUUCGAUGCUUUUGAUGAGGACAGUAUAUACAUACUCACACAUUGUUAUUGGGACUGUGCAUUAGUCUAUGGCAUACACACAACGCAUGGACACUUGGAACAUAGUUCUACUUUGACUGUCGUCACAUUUGAGAUUUAAUUUAAAGUAGUGAGUUUUCUCAAUAUCAAUAUUGCCACUAUUUUUCUUAUUUUAUUUUUUUUUCUCUUUCAAAAAAAAAACUCUUACAUUUUUCAUAUGCAAUUUUUGAUAUCAGUAUGGCUGAAAAACAUGUAUAUGAUGGUGACUUGGAUGCAUCGUGUUAUGGUAACAUGGGUUUCCCUAGAGGAAGGGGUACAUGGUUGCUUGGUAGCACCGAGGGUGGUAUUCUCAGUGAAGACGUCAGCCGGGGGGUUGGACGACCACAGUCACAUGAUGACAAUGGUAGGGGUAUUGGGUUGAGUCAGACCCUGGGUGGUACUCCUGUUGGUUGGGUUCCUAGUGAGGGUCCAUACACCUCCACACCUGGUGUUGACAGAGUUGCUUUCGACCACCUUACAGACAUGGUAGGCCAGUUAGGAUCGCAAAUUGGCGAGUCAAUAGUUGCGAAACUAAUGUCUGCUGGUUUAGUUAAUGUUAAUGCUGAUUGCCAAACCAAUUCACUCAAUUACACUCAGACACCAGCACGCACAGAACAGUGUACACAUACACAAAUGAUGGUACCACAAGUUACAGUGCACAUGAAGUCUGAGCAUGACACAUUUAGGGGUGAUGGCUCUGAUAAGUAUGGCAUUGAGGAGUGGGUGGACAGGACAAAAGCUUACUUAAGAAAGCAAAUGUGCCCUGUUCAAGAGCAAGCCGAAGAGAUAAUGAGUAGACUGGCUGGAAAGGCAAGGGAUGUUGUCAAAGUCAGCCUUCGCAGCGAUAAUAUGCUCAACGUCAGACAGGACCCUGAGUUAAUUUAUGGUAUUCUUACACAGUACUUCAGUGAAGCGACCUCUUGCCUGCCACUCGCAGAUUUUUAUGCCACUCUUCCCAGAGCCAAAGAGAACCCUGUGGACUACUGGAUUCGAAUUAACAAAGCGGCUGAUCUGGCAGAUGAGGGACUGCGAAGACAAGGCAAAUGUUUUGACAACAUAGGAGAGGAAGUAACACGGAUGUUUGUUAAAUUCUGUCCUGACCCCAGUUUGGCGAGUAUGUUCAGAUGCAAGCCUGUUCAAGAAUGGAGUGCAAAGGAAAUACAGAGCAGGAUUGAUGAUUAUCAGAGGGAAUUUAGGAGCCGGGGAAAUAGCACAGCGAAUCUACGGAGCCACACUACUGCAUUGUUUAGCAGUGAACAUGUUAUGCACGAUCGUCCCAAGGCUGAGUCACCUUCUAUUCCAGUCCAGUCAUUCAGUUCUUUACCUGAUACUCAGGCAUUUCGACAGCCAGAGCCUACACCAGCACCCAGUCAGGCACAGCAUCAGCCCUCCUCCUGCUCAACUCCGGCCCCAGCGAUAUCUCAACACACACAACAGGCUGAGAACCAGUUGCUCACUCGUAUGAUGGAGAUGAUGGAGCAGCUCAUGGGCAGGGUACAAUUUCGUGAUGCUUCCAACCCAAGACGUGGCUCUAGACAGCAGCGUAGUUUUGUCAGAAGUGUCUGUCGAGUCUGUAAUGACAGCAAACACACCACGGUGACUCACUGCAUGACAGACAAACUGUGUUUUGCAUGCUUCUCCCCAGGGCACACAAAGAAGGACUGUCCUAAACAAUCCUCUGCCCAGAUACAACAUGAGGGAAACUAGCAGACCCGUAUUUGGAGGGAGGCAGUGCGGGUCCUCAUUGUAACUCCCAAGCCAUUGAUAAUUGUGAGUCUGAGAAUACAUACCUUUUAGCCAAAGGAAGUCUUGAUCAUUCGGAAGUCAUUUAUCAGAACAUGCAUGUUGUGGAUGGACGUGACACCUUCUUUUAUACGCCAGUGAAGAUUGGAGAGACGGUGACAUUGAGUGCAAUGUUGGACAGUGGUUCGAUGGCCUGCACUAUAAAUGAGUCUGCUGAGAUGAAACUGAGAUCGGCUGGUGCAGUGGAUGAAUGUGAUGAGUUUCAAACUGAUGUUACUCUUAUAGGCUGUGGAGGGCUACGUGUCAAACCCAAAUCCUCAUUCAAUCUUCCCAUGGAAGUGUAUGGUAUAAAGAUGGUAGUUCCCACCUUAGUGGUUCCUGGACAACAUGAUGAGCUGAUACUUGGGACUAAUGUCAUUAAACACAUUCUCAAAUACUUCAAAUUGUGUGAUGGAUAUUGGCAAACUCUGUCUUGUCCAACUCCAGCAGACCCUGAGUGUGAAAGCUUCUUGUCAAUGCUUGCUGGAUUGAACCGCUGGAGAGGAAAAGAGAUACCUGAGCGGAUAGGAACAGUCAGAUACAACUCAGCUGUUUAUCUUGAGCCGGGUUGUGAGUAUUUAGUAUGGGGAAGGCUGCCCAAAUCUGCUGUUGUUUCCCCGGGAAUUGCAGUCAUGACUGAACCUACAUCUUCUCACUCGGCUCCCAGAGGUGUUAUGGUGGCUAGACUAAUCACGUCUCUGUGGGGAGAUGGAUGGAUCCCCUUGAAACUUAUCAACACAUCAGGCAGUCCAGUGUUAUUGAGACGGAAUGCAAAAAUUGCGGACCUAUAUCCGUGCAUUGCUGUUGAAGAUCUUGGUCACACCAGUGCAGUCCAUCCUUCUCUGGUAAACUGCCCCACAAGUUUGUCUGUGUUGGCCGACGUGUCAUCUGUGAAAGAGCGACUGAAGUCUAUUGGCCUGGACAAUCUUAACAUUGACUCGUGUGAUAUCUCGGAGGCAUGCAAGCAACGUUUGCUGAACCUAAUACUGAGUUACGAAGACAUCUUUUCACGUAACCAUCUUGAUUGUGGGGAAGCAAGGGAUUUCGUCCACAGGAUACACCUCUCAGAUACUAGACCUUUCAGGCUUCCAUUCAGACGAGUAGCACCCAGUCAAUAUCAAAAACAGACAGGUACUGACUGAAAUGGAGGAGAAGGAGAUAAUUUGGCGAUCUACCAGUGAGUAUGCUUCUCCUCUCGUUUUGGUCUGGAAGAACAAUGGGGACUUGCGUGUGUGCACUGAUUUUCGUUGGUUGAACAGGAGAACGCUGAAGGACGCGCACCCUCUUCCUCAUCAGGCAGAUUGUUUGGCAGCACUUGGCGGUAACGCCCUCUUUAGCACAAUGGAUUUGACAUCCGGAUUCUAUAAUAUGCCGCUGCAUGAGGAGGACCGCAAGUUUACCGCCUUUACGAUGGCUAUGGGCCUCUUCGAGUACAAUCGUUUACCCCAAGGCCUCUGCAACAGUCCUGGCAGCUUCAUGCGUAUGAUGAUCAACAUAUUUGGAGACGAAAACUUUCUCAGUCUGUUGUGUUAUCUGGAUGACCUGAUUGUCUUUGGCCCAGAUGAGAAAACCGCCCUUGAUCGCUUGGAAAUGGUGUUUGACAGGCUUCGCACACACAAUCUUAAGCUGUCUCCAAAAAAAUGCCACCUGAUAAGAAAAUCAGUGAAGUUUCUUGGGCAUAUGAUUGAUCAGACAGGUGUUUCCACAGAUCCAAGCAAAGUUGAAAGCAUCUCAAAGAUAAGCAGUUUGGAUUUGAUGGAGCUUGAUGGAGUGACUCCUUCUCAGAAGAAAAUAAGAUCUUUCUUGGGAAUGAUAAAUUACUACCAGCACUUUAUUCCAAACUAUUCCGCUACAGCAGAGCCACUUUUUAAUCUUCUGAAGGGUCAAAAGUCAAGAGCGAAGAAUCUGAGGAAGCUAGAUCAUGCUCGCCAGAGUAGGAAGCUGAAACCUAGUGACUGGACGCAAGCGCAGGACCAGGCAGUUGAGAGGUUGAAAACAUCGUUGGUCGAGAGCGUUGUCCUUGCCCAUCCUGAUUUUGAUCACCCUUUCAUACUGGCAACAGAUGCCUCCUUAGACGGUAUUGGUGCUGUGCUCUCACAGGUCCCAGAGGGGGAGACAAAAGCCAGGCCUGUGGCCUUCGCCAGCAAGUCCCUUUCUCGUUCGCAGCAAAAUUAUCCAGCACAUCGUUUGGAGUUUUUGGCCUUGAAAUGGUCAGUAUGUGAUAAAUUCAGUCAUUGGCUUAGAGGACAUGAAUUCACUGUCUUGACUGACAAUAAUCCUUUGGCCCAUAUACUUACAAAAGUAUAUGGGCCAAAUUAGCUAGCUACAACUUUGACAUAAAGUACGUGCCCGGUCCCCAAAACACAGUUGCUGAUGCCCUGAGCCGGGUUCCAUUUGUCAAAACUGAUGUCACGCAGAGACUUCUCAAAGAGCCAUAUGGAGCACUUCUGGCUGGUUCCAGAGGAAUGUCCACAGUUUCAGUGCAGGAUGCCUUUAGAAGGUCAUGUGAUUCAGCUAGGGGGCAGAGUGUCCUUAAUCUAGGCCAGUCGUGCAAAUCAUACAUGGAACAAACCAAAGAACUUCUGACUGUCCCAAAAGCAGAUGUAUCUGCUAUAUUGAACUCGCAUGUUGAGUGGGAUAUCGGUGCCAGGGCACGAGCAAUGUCUGUCAUUGAUCACUUACCUCAGUUGAUGUCAGAAGGGCAGGACACAUUGCCAGCAUAUUCAGAACAGGAGCUACGUGAAAAACAGCUCACAGACAAAAUUUUGUCAAGAGUCUUGUAUUAUGUUGAGCGUCGGCGUAGGCCUUCGAGAAGAGAAAGGUCGAAGGAAUCGAUGAUUGUUAUUCAAUACUUGAAGCACUGGGAGAAACUUGUUGUCAGAAAUGGUAUCUUGUACAGAGUGUCUCAUGAUCAACUAUCAAGAACAAAACGCUACCAAUUUGUUGUUCCAGAGUCUUUAGUGAGUGUGAUCUUGAGAGGAAUCCAUGACGACUGUGGUCACCAAGGUCAGUCAAGGAGUGCUAGCCUUGCACGACAGCGCUUCUUUUGGCUGAACAUGGAUCAAAAUGUGAGAGACUAUGUGCGCCAAUGUCACCGCUGCACUGUGAGCAAAACAACUGAUCCCUCUGGUAGAGCUCCCCUGGAGAGCAUUUCAACAAGUAGACCGUUAGAGCUUGUCUGCAUAGACUUCUGGGCAGCAGAAGACUCUACUAACAAGUCUGUUGACGUUUUGGUGGUAACCGAUCAUUUUACAAGGCUAGCACAGGCCUUUGUGUGUAGAGACCAGUCCCCCAAACAGGUUGCCAGGAUCCUAUGGGACAGGUAUUUUUGUAUUUACGGCCUCCCAGAACGAAUUUAUAGUGACCAGGGUCCAAGCUUUGAAAUUAAAUUGAUCGGAGAGCUUCUAAGGGUCUCUGGGGUGAACAAGUCACACACAACAGCGUAUCACCCAAUGGGUAAUGGAAGCGUGGAACGCUUUAAUAGAACCCUUGGAAACAUGAUACAAGCUUUAUCACCAGACGUGAAAAGAGAUUGGCCGAGACGGUUGCAGACACUGACAUUUCUGUAUAAUUGCACAAUCCACGAAACGACAGGCUAUGCUCCUUUUUAUUUAAUGUUCGGGCGUGUGCCCCGUCUGCCCAUUGACAUUCUUUUUCGUUCUGUCUUAAAUGAUUCAGCUGUAACCUGCUGUGAUAAGUUCGUAACCACUUUGGUCAAAGAUCUGAAAGAAGCUUUACUGAUUGCACAAGAACAUGCAACAAAAGAGCAGAAAAGACAUGCAGAGCUGUACAACCGAAGGGUAAAAGGACUGCUCAUUGAAACAGGCGAUCAGGUGCUCCUAGCAAAUAAAACCGAAAGGGGUAAGAAGAAAGUCGCUGACAGGUGGGAGUCAACCGUUUACACUGUUGUGGACCGUAAACCGGACACUCAUACUUACAGCAUCCAUAACCCAGCCACGGGUCAGGAAAAAGUGGUUCAUCGAAACCUGUUGAUGUUGGUGAAUUUCUUACCGGUGAAUGUAGAGAACCCUCUGCCUGAUCAACAUUCUGAUGUAUCCACCUCUUACCAGAGGUCGUCUUCUGUCCUGUCAUUGUGUGCAGUGGAGGAUGAGUCUUUAGGAGGAGAUGCAGAACUGUCUGAGCACAUGGAGGACAGCUACAGCAGCGUUACAAUAGAUGGCUCAGUGAUAACGAGAGGCGAGGCGAUACCUACAUGUGAUGAUGUUGACGUUGACUCUAAGGAUGAUUCUAUGUCAGUUCAGGAAUCUGAUAACAGAAACAGAACCAUAAGUUGGGUUUCAGACCUGCCUGAAAGAUCCCAUCAUGAGUCUGAUCGUACCCCAAGUGGAGUUCUAGUAGAUCCUAUGACUGAAGCCUCUCCUUCUGCACCAAAAAGUCAUGUACCUGAAACGUCAAGAGAUGCAAAAACAUCUGUUUCUGAUGGUGACACAAGAGACGGUUCAGAUUCGCAUGAAUCAGAUACUGAGACAGUCCUGUCUGCCCCGCCACAUCCUCAGACACCUACCAACACCUAUGUAGCUGACACUGUAAAUGUGCCGCAAAGUUCUAGCCCAGUCACACAGAUCAGGUCAUUUUUUGGUCGCAUGAUUAAACCUGUUGACAGAUUAAUACAUGUAAUGUCAGCACAGGCAGUGGUUCAGGAUACAAAACACAAUGUUCAAGCUGUUUGCAAGUCAGUGUUUAGGGCUUUCUCUGCCUAAAACAAAACAUUCAAUUUCAUGUCUCUUGGCAUGUUGGUUAAAAAAGUGUUAAGGCUGUUUUAUAGUCUUACAGCAACAGUUCAGAUUUUUAAGCACAUACCUGAAGAACUGGGGUGCCUUCGGGUCCUUGUGUACACCUUGUGUACUUCUACAUUAUUAUUAUUUAUUUAUUUAUUUAUUUUUUCUUCAUUUCGUUUGAGAAUUGUAAUGGAAAGUAGAGCAUGGAAGGAUAUUGUGGAAUGUAUGUAAGUGUUCUGCUGUCGGUAGCUGGUGAGAGAGCUUAGCGCUACUCUCUCAUCACUUCAUCCUUAAGGGAUAAUUAGUUUUUUUUUUGACGGUCCUUUGAUAGGAGAUCCUUUCUCAUUGUGAAGUUCACUAUUGUGAACUGAAGGAAAAGUGUUCCGUUGUUGAUACUCCCCUGGUCAUGCACUUAUUUUAUGUAAAUUCAGUGGGGGUGGAUGUAACAGGGUUAAAAAGAACAUUUAAUUUAAAGAGCAAUAUUAUGUGAAUUUUAUAAAAUAAGGCAUUCGGCUGUAUGCAUUGGUGUUCAAAGGCUCCCAUCCUGUGGCUGUUAAUGGUACUGCAGAUUUUGUAUUUUGUCGCUCUUCUCUUGCCGUACCGCAGCAGAUUCAAGUGUCGAUGCUGCGGCCUUUUGUGAAUGUCUGCAGUUCUGUCUUCAGCCAAAGUGAAUUGUUUUCUUCUUUUUCUGUCUAAAAU